GCCCCGGUAAACGGCGGCCGUAACUAUAACGGUCCUAAGGUAGCGAAAUUCCUUGUCGGGUAAGUUCCGACCUGCACGAAUGGCGUAAUGAUGGCCAGGCUGUCUCCACCCGAGACUCAGUGAAAUUGAACUCGCUGUGAAGAUGCAGUGUACCCGCGGCAAGACGGAAAGACCCCGUGAACCUUUACUAUAGCUUGACACUGAACAUUGAGCCUUGAUGUGUAGGAUAGGUGGGAGGCUUUGAAGUGUGGACGCCAGUCUGCAUGGAGCCGACCUUGAAAUACCACCCUUUAAUGUUUGAUGUUCUAACGUUGGCCCGUAAUCCGGGUUGCGGACAGUGUCUGGUGGGUAGUUUGACUGGGGCGGUCUCCUCCUAAAGAGUAACGGAGGAGCACGAAGGUUGGCUAAUCCUGGUCGGACAUCAGGAGGUUAGUGCAAUGGCAUAAGCCAGCUUGACUGCGAGCGUGACGGCGCGAGCAGGUGCGAAAGCAGGUCAUAGUGAUCCGGUGGUUCUGAAUGGAAGGGCCAUCGCUCAACGGAUAAAAGGUACUCCGGGGAUAACAGGCUGAUACCGCCCAAGAGUUCAUAUCGACGGCGGUGUUUGGCACCUCGAUGUCGGCUCAUCACAUCCUGGGGCUGAAGUAGGUCCCAAGGGUAUGGCUGUUCGCCAUUUAAAGUGGUACGCGAGCUGGGUUUAGAACGUCGUGAGACAGUUCGGUCCCUAUCUGCCGUGGGCGCUGGAGAACUGAGGGGGGCUGCUCCUAGUACGAGAGGACCGGAGUGGACGCAUCACUGGUGUUCGGGUUGUCAUGCCAAUGGCACUGCCCGGUAGCUAAAUGCGGAAGAGAUAAGUGCUGAAAGCAUCUAAGCACGAAACUUGCCCCGAGAUGAGUUCUCCCUGACUCCUUGAGAGUCCUGAAGGAACGUUGAAGACGACGACGUUGAUAGGCCGGGUGUGUAAGCGCAGCGAUGCGUUGAGCUA
rnacentral:rRNA from 1 species